rnacentral:rRNA from 1 species
AUUGAACGCUGGCGGCAGGCCUAACACAUGCAAGUCGAGCGGAUGACGGGAGCUUGCUCCUUGAUUCAGCGGCGGACGGGUGAGUAAUGCCUAGGAAUCUGCCUGGUAGUGGGGGACAACGUUUCGAAAGGAACGCUAAUACCGCAUACGUCCUACGGGAGAAAGCAGGGGACCUUCGGGCCUUGCGCUAUCAGAUGAGCCUAGGUCGGAUUAGCUAGUUGGUGGGGUAAUGGCUCACCAAGGCGACGACCCGUAACUGGUCUGAGAGGAUGAUCAGUCACAAUGGAACUGAGACACGGUCCAGACUCCUACGGGAGGCAGCAGUGGGGAAUAUUGGACAAUGGGCGAAAGCCUGAUCCAGCCAUGCCGCGUGUGUGAAGAAGGUCUUCGGAUUGUAAAGCACUUUAAGUUGGGAGGAAGGGCAGUAAGCUAAUACCUUGCUGUUUUGACGUUACCGACAGAAUAAGCACCGGCUAACUCUGUGCCAGCCGCCGCCGUAACAC